GAGAUAGAGAGAGAGACAGAGGCAGAGAGAGAGAAGGUGAAUGGAUGAGGGAGAGUAGUAGAUCACUGGACUAGUAGCGAGUGGUGGUGACAGAAGAGAGUGAGCACACUCGGGCAAUUGUAUAAAGCCAUACCUUUGCGUGAUGUGUGCUCACUUCUCUUUCUGUCAGCCGCACGCCCYCCGCCCYCCGCCCACCGCCCACCGCCUGCGCUGCCCUCCCUUUCAUUAUGUCUUUCUGUGUUCCUCCUCUCGAUCUC
rnacentral:pre_miRNA from 1 species